rnacentral:misc_RNA from 1 species
GAGAAAUUUACGGGGAGUUGAGCUGGCCGAAAGGCAUGUGCUCGCUUCCUAAAUUAUCUUAUCCAUACACCUGUGCACCUUUGGGGAGAAUGCUAGUUAAUAGAAUUCUCCUCGUUUUUACACAAACUCUUAUAAUAACAUUGAACGUGAUCUAGUGCCGCAAGGCCUUAAUCAAAUAUA